rnacentral:rRNA from 1 species
CCCUUAGAUGUUCGGGGCCGCACGCGCGCUACACUGAAUGAAUCAGCGAGUGUAUGUCCUAGGCCGAAAGGUCCGGGUAACCCGUUGAACCUCAUUCGUGAUUGGGAUAGGGACUUGCAAUUGUUUCCCUUGAACGAGGAAUUCCCAGUAAGCGCAAGUCAUCAGCUUGCGUUGAUUACGUCCCUGCCCUUUGUACACACCGCCCGUCGCUACUACCGAUUGAAUGUUUCGGUGAAGAUUCCGGAUAGGACUUUUUUGAUUUAUUUCAAUUUUGUCUUAAAAGCUAUCUAAACCUCAACAUUUAGAGGAAGGUGAAGUCGUAACA